CAAAGUCGCGGGCUGCGGUAGGUAGUGCCACUCGGGGGCACCACGAUCGCAGAUACUCGUUCCCGGCACGCGAUACAUUUUCUUUGAAAUUUCGUGCAACUGCAAAGAAAAAAGUGAAUACGCCGGACCUUUGGUGACCUCAACGUGUGCGUUGUGAGUGCUUUUCUACGGACUCUAUUUUUUAUCGAUAUUCCGGUAUUAGAAUAGAGGUACGGACGUGGUCGCGCUAGUGAAACGGGAAGAUUUCGACAUUUCAAAUUGUGAGGAUUGCCUGCACCACUUUUGGGACCACAAUUGAAAACCAACGCCCAUGUCACAACAAACCGACAGAAGCAAUAAUAGAUGAUAUUUUGUACAACCAAUUGUUAGAUCUAUUAUUAAGAUAAUUGGAGGAAUGAGAAUCCGUCUUUUUUAAAAGAUAUUUUUUUAUAGAAAUAUUGCUUUUAUAUAAAUGAGCUUAGGUAGUGUAGCAAAAAUGGAGUUCAGCGUGAGAUGUCGUUUGAGGAUAUUGUGGACAGCUGUGGCGACCUUGGUCUUCCUGUCUAAGAGUAGUGCGGCGCCGUCUUUCGGGGGUGGCACUGAUAGUGCAAUGAUGUACCUGGCUCAAUAUGGGUACCUGAGCCCGACGGUGCGGAAUCCCUCCAGUGGUCACAUCAUGGACGAGAGCUCGUGGCGCCGCGCCAUCCAGGAAUUCCAGAGCUUCGCCGGACUUAAUGCGACAGGUGAACUCGAUGAGGAGACUGUGAAAGUAAUGGCACUGCCAAGAUGUGGUGUUCGAGACAAAGUAGGCUUCGGAGAGAGCAGAGCCAAAAGAUACGCGCUACAAGGUUCAAGAUGGCGUGUGAAAAAUCUUACGUACAAAAUCGCCAAGUAUCCAUCAAGACUAAAUCGCGCCGAGGUAGACGCUGAGCUCGCUAAAGCCUUUUCCGUAUGGUCAGAUUAUACGGAUCUUACAUUUACGCAGAAACGUUCCGGACAAGUCCAUAUUGAAAUUAGGUUUGAAAAAGGAGAGCACGGGGACGGCGAUCCUUUCGACGGCCCUGGCGGCACUCUUGCGCAUGCUUACUUCCCUGUGUACGGCGGUGACGCUCACUUCGACGAUGCUGAAACAUGGACAAUCAACUCUAAAAGAGGGACCAAUCUGUUCCAGGUAGCUGCUCACGAAUUUGGUCAUUCGCUAGGUUUGUCACACAGUGACAUUCGCUCAGCUCUCAUGGCCCCCUUCUACAGAGGUUAUGACCCUAGCUUCCAGCUCGAUCAGGAUGAUAUCCAGGCUAUACAGGCGCUGUACGGGCACAAAUCGCAAAAUGACAUUGGAGGUAAUGUACCAACAGUACCAAGGGCCACAACUCAACAGCCUUCAGUUGAAGACCCUGCUCUCUGCGCUGAUCCUAAAUUCGACACCAUCUUCAGCACUGCCACUGGCGAAACCUGUAUAUUCAAGGGUGAACAUUACUGGAAAUUAACCGAGGAUGGUGUAGCGGCUGGCUACCCUCGUCUCAUAUCACGAGCUUGGCCUGGUCUGCCUGGCAACAUUGAUGCAGCUUUUACUUAUAAGAACGGCAAGACGUACUUCUUCAAGGGCUCGAAGUACUGGCGGUAUAACGGACAGAAGAUGGACGGGGAUUAUCCUAAGGAAAUUAGCGAAGGUUUCACUGGUAUUCCAGAUAACAUAGACGCGGCGUUGGUCUGGUCUGGUAAUGGCAAGAUUUACUUCUACAAAGGCUCCAAAUUCUGGAGGUUUGACCCUGCUCAAAGGCCUCCGGUUAAGGCGACGUAUCCCAAAGCAUUAUCUGACUGGGCGGGCAUUCCGGACAAUGUCGAUGCUGCUUUGCAAUAUACCAACGGAUACACAUACUUCUUCAAAGGAGGCUCUUAUUGGCGGUUUAAUGAUAGAACCUUCAGUGUGGACGUUGACAACCCUGCGUUCCCUCGCUCAACGGCAUACUGGUGGUUAGGCUGUACGAGCGCACCUCGAGGCACUGUUGGAGGUAACGCCAAACUUACCGCAACUUCAUCGCCAGCUGAUGAUGACGUCGGCGACAUCCUAUUCGACGCAGUGGUCAACAUACAGUCGGGCGGUGCCAGACUGUAACUAUUCCGUGGCUCCGAGCCGCUUCAUUUGUUAGGAGGCGUACGUCCUCCGCCGCGACACCUUUCACCCGCAUUUAUGUGGUUCAAGAAACAGGCGGCUCGGGGAAAAGAAACAGCGCAAUGAGAACGCGGUCGCCGCUAGUACGUGCUCUGAUAACGUUGGCCGUGUUGCUGUGCUGGAGAGUUUAGCGCCCCCGUGGCCACCGUCUUCGUAGCUAGUAUCUAGAGGUGGCGGCCAUAAAUAGCCCCCACUGGUUCGGGAGUACCAGCCAUGUCGAGCCCCGCGUCACCGACUGUGAUCGUGUGUUGAGUGCCUGUCGCGUUCGGUAUAUUGUGUAUAGCGAACGCCUUGCUGUGAUGAUGAAUGUGUCCUAUUAUACUAUUGCGCGAACGAUAAUUUAAUGCGAAGUCAUAGUUUUUAUACCUAUUAUAAAUAGAUGAUGUAAGUACGAGUGUGAUAUUGAAGUAAGCAAUGAUUUUUGUAUUAAAAUAUUUAAACUACUCUUGCUAAUUUUAUUUAAAGUAGACACUUUACUGACACACACUCUUGUUAACCUUUUAAAUUAGCAUGAGAUUGGG